AUACGUAGGUGACAAGCGUUAUCCGGAUUUACUGGGCGUAAAGGGCGUGUAGGCGGUCUUGCAAGUCAGAAGUGAAAUUCCUGAGCUCAACUCGGGCGCUGCUUCUGAAACUGCAGGACUUGAGUGCUGGAGGGGAUAGCGGAAUUCCUAGUGGAGCGGUAAAAUGCGCAGAUAUUAGGAAGAACACCGGUGGCGAAGGCGUCUAGCUGGACAGUAACUGACGCUGAGGCGCGAAAGCGUGGGGAGCGAACAGGAUUAGAUACCCUGGUAGUCCACGCUGUAAACGAUGGAUACUAGGUGUAGGGGGUAUCGACUCCCUCUGUGCCGGAGCGAACGCAAUAAGUAUCCCGCCUGGGGAGUACGGCCGCAAGGUUGAAACUCAAAGGAAUUGACGGGG
rnacentral:rRNA from 1 species